AAUAUGGGACAAUGGGGGCAGCCCUGAUCCAGCCAGGCCGCGUGGGUGAAGAAGGUCUUCGGAUUGUAAAGCACUUUAAGUUGAGAGGAAGUGCUUUGGGUUAAUACGCUGAAUUUUUGACGUUACCAACAGAAUAAGCACCGGCUAACUCUGUGCCAGCAGCCGCGGUAAUACAGAGGGUGCAAGCGUUAAUCGGAAUUACUGGGCGUAAAGCGCGCGUAGGUGGUUCAGUAAGAUGGGUGUGAAAUCCCCGGGCUUAACCUGGGAACUGCUUUCAUAACUGCUGAGCUAGAGUACGGUAGAGGGUAGUGGAAUUUCCUGUGUAGCGGUGAAAUGCGUAGAUAUAGGAAGGAACACCAGUGGCGAAGGCGACUACCUGGACUGAUACUGACACUGAGGUGCGAAAGCGUGGGGAGCAAACA
rnacentral:rRNA from 1 species